CAACUUUAAAAGCACUAAAUUUGUACUGAACAGGAGAGCUACGAAAAGAACAUCCUCAUGAAGGUUUAAAGUGAAUGAUAUAUAUGUUUGUUAUGCCUGUGUAUUCAGUUCUGGAAACGUGGAUAGAGCUUGAAAGUUACCAGUGAAGGCUAGCUAUUUGUGGCCAAUACAACGUGGGCUUUUCUGUCUCCACAGGAAUUUCUACAGUGGCACUGGCAACAUUACUUGAAGAUUUAGUAAUAUCAGGGAACUGUAUAAGGGAUGGCAGCCCAUCUUCUUCCUGAAGACAUCUGAAGGUACAUAUAACCAGAGGGAGAUGACUACUUUCAAACUACAGAACCUAUAUUUGACUUCCAAGGUGCAGCUCAUGUGCUUGCGCUGCUGAUCCCACAGUGCCAUGUUCAUAAGUCUUCUUUCGACUGCACUAUACAACUCCUCCAAAAGGCAUCAUGGCUGCAGUGUCAGGAUUGAAUUAAAACAUCAUAAAGAGAUAAGACUUAGGGCAUGUGCUAUGGU
rnacentral:lncRNA from 1 species